CAGUCGCCGCGGUAAUACGUAGGUGGCAAGCGUUGUCCGGAAUUAUUGGGCGUAAAGGGCUCGCAGGCGGUUUCUUAAGUCUGACGUGAAAGCCCCCGGCUCAACCGGGGAGGGUCAUUGGAAACUGGGAAACUUGAGUGCAGAAGAGGAGAGUGGAAUUCCACGUGUAGCGGUGAAAUGCGUAGAGAUGUGGAGGAACACCAGUGGCGAAGGCGACUCUCUGGUCUGUAACUGACGCUGAGGAGCGAAAGCGUGGGGAGCGAACAGGAUUAGAUACCCCUGUAGUCCCUGUCUCUUAUAA
rnacentral:rRNA from 1 species